UGGCUCAGGACGAACGCUGGCGGCGUGCCUAAUACAUGCAAGUCGAACGCACUGACGUCGACCGAAGCUGCUUGCAGUGGACGUUGAUUGACGUGAGUGGCGGACGGGUGAGUAACACGUGGGUAACCUACCCUUAAGUGGGGGAUAACAUUUGGAAACAGAUGCUAAUACCGCAUAACCAUUCAGACCACAUGGUCUGAAUGUAAAAGACGGCCUUUGGCUGUCACUUUUGGACGGACCCGCGGCGUAUUAGUUAGUUGGUAAGGUAACGGCUUACCAAGACAAUGAUACGUAGCCGACCUGAGAGGGUAAUCGGCCACAUUGGGACUGAGACACGGCCCAAACUCCUACGGGAGGCAGCAGUAGGGAAUCUUCCACAAUGGACGAAAGUCUGAUGGAGCAACGCCGCGUGAGUGAAGAAGGUUUUAGGAUCGUAAAACUCUGUUGUUGGAGAAGAACAGGGACUAGAGUAACUGUUAGUCCUUUGACGGUAUCCAACCAGAAAGCCACGGCUAACUACGUGCCAGAC
rnacentral:rRNA from 2 species